CCUACGGGAGGCAGCAGUAGGGAAUAUUGCUCAAUGGGGGAAACCCUGAAGCAGCAACGCCGCGUGGAGGAUGAAGGUUUUCGGAUUGUAAACUCCUUUUGUUAAAGAAGAUAAUGACGGUAUCUAACGAAUAAGCACCGGCUAACUCCGUGCCAGCAGCCGCGGUAAUACGGAGGGUGCAAGCGUUACUCGGAAUCACUGGGUGUAAAGGGCGCGUAGGCGGGAUAGCAAGUCAGAUGUGAAAUCCUAUGGCUUAACCAUAGAACUGCAUUUGAAACUGUUAUUCUAGAGUAUGGGAGAGGUAGGUGGAAUUCUUGGUGUAGGGGUAAAAUCCGUAGAGAUCAAGAAGAAUACUCAUUGCGAAGGCGACCUGCUAGAACAUAACUGACGCUGAUGCGCGAAAGCGUGGGGAGCAAACAGGAUUAGAUACCCUAGUAGUC
rnacentral:rRNA from 1 species